AAAGAGCUGGGGAUGUCGGUCAGUGUGAAGGUCCUGGGUUCGAAGCCCAGUACCCCCAACACAAAUGUGAUGACAGUGGACCCCCUCAGAUAGCUCAGGAGGACUCCUCACCCCAGAGCCCUUGGCUUCUCCCAAUCUGCAAAGCCCUGGGUGCCCCGGGCCGGAUCCCACACUCAGGUCCCAGUGGCAGGGGCUUCCCGACCCAUGCAGGUGAGGGUUCCGGGAAGGGAUGGAGGCAAAACUCUGGCCGGCCUGGCCAGGGGCUCUGAGCUCACCCCUGCCAGCGGUCACCCAGCAGCAGAGCAGCCUGGGAGGCCCCUGCAGCCAGGCCCCUGGGCUGCCACCCUGCCCUUCUCCUGCAGACCCUCAAGAACCGGUGGCUGCAGCAGUACAGCCAGGAAUCGGCCAACCCGGGGAUCCCCGUGCUCCUGGCCUGUGGCACCGUCUCCAGCACCUGUGGCCAGAUCGCCAGCUACCCCCUGGCUCUGGUGCGGACCCGAAUGCAGGCCCAAGGAGCCGCCAGAGCCGGGACUGACAGCCAGGUUGUUGGCGCAGAACGCGAUCCUGAAAAACGGGACCCUGAGCUGGCACAGCGAACACGGGAUGGCAGGCGUGCACCUGUCCCCUGGCGUGACCUACGACGAGCCCAGGCGAGAGCUGGUGGUGGCGAAGGCCGGAUUCUACAAGGUCUGCUUACACCUGCAGCUGACACAUGUGCUGCCAGCUGCCCGGAUCUCCGGCAAAGUCUCAAUGGCCCUGCACUUGGAGCCGCCACAGACUGGGGCCAGCGUCCAAGCUCCGGCCGUGGACCUGACGCCCCAGUCCUCCGUCUCAGCGCAAGCUUCCCACUGCCACCUACUGCAGGUGCCCAAGGACCAGCGACUCAGUGUCCACCUCGGCGUCUACCUGUCCGCUCAGUGGGGUGAGCACCAGGUCUGGCAGCUGGCCCAGUCUCCCCCUGCCACCAAGUUAGAACUCUUCCGAGUGGCCGCUGAAGUCCCAGACUGACUCCCCGUGAUGCCCGUCACGGGUACUGCCCACCUGCACACGGGUGCCUCCUGUUCUUCUUUGCUUGUGCCCGUGGUGCUAGGACAGGGCGCUCUACCUCAUGAGCCGGGCAGGGGUCCAGCGGUGCUGACCUCUCCUCCCCAGGACUCUGCCCACUCCCAAGUAUUUAUUCUGGGCCCGUGCUCAGAAAGCACACUUUAUAUGGAUACUUUGUAAUGCACUGCUAUUUAUUGAGCACUUACGGUGUGCCAGUCAGGUGCUAGAGAACCACUGGAAAAACAUGGAUCCCAAAUAGAAGGUUUUAUUUAUGUUAAUAUAUAUGAGAACUAUAUGCCCCUACCCCAUGGUGCAUCUAGAUUUUGCAUUAAACGUGCAUCUACCUAGUGAGCAGAAUUUGUUCACCUGAGAGUCGUCCUUGUCGCUGUUCCCUGAGGGUUUACUGAUGGCGGGUCAACGCUGCCUCCUCCUGGUUCCUUUUGUCCGACUUUCACUGUGCUAACGUGGAACCCGCAUAUUAAGCAGAUGCUGCACCACUGCUAAGCUACACCUCCGGUUUAGUCUCGUGGUGCAGGGGGAGGAGCCGAGGCCUUUGCCCUGAGCUCCGUCCUCAGCCCUUUGCAUGUGUGAGCCAGGAUGUUGCACAGUCACUCAACUGCCAGGUGGGGCAGGAACUUGGGACCCUGCUGCCUCAGCCUCCCAAGCACGGGGGCCACAGGUGUGUGCACCACACCGCCUGGCUUUUAGCAAUUCUUUUCGCACUCCUCAAUCCGUCCUGCCACGUAGGUGCCUAAAAUUCGCCGUGACAGUAUGGAGAAUGAAAUUUGUUGGCGGGGCGUGGUGAGAGUUGUCCGCAGUUGUCUGGAGAUGGUUGUCGAGUGUGUUCUCUACGUCACUGUUAGUUAUUUUCCUGGACACCAUGACAACUUUCCACUGUGGAAAGUCUGUGAGUUGCAUUUCACCGUUUCCUCGGAGGCCCUUGAGGUUGAGCCCCUGGUCGGAAACACCUAUAGCCGUUCUGGGUCGGCUGACGUCACUCUGGUGAUCCUGCAAUGAGUAGGAGUUUAUGGGAGGGGAAUCCUGAGGGCUGAGCUCGGGGCGUGAUGCCGUGGAGCUGUGGGAGGCGUGGACAUAGCCUAGAAAAUCCAGGAAGCCUGCUGAGUGUUACCCCUCGAUUACCUGACUCCGCUGGCUGCUGCAUCAAGUUGAAACGCGGGGUGCUCCCUGGAUUGUCUCAUCUUACUGCAUGGACUUGAGAUGGAAAACGAUUCCGGUCGGGAAACACACAAGUGGCACACGUGUGUGUGAAUAAAGUGAUUAUACGAG
ensembl:lincRNA